AAAAAAAGGCAUAGGUACAGGGGGGCGGGCGAUUUAAAAGGAAGGGGUGGAGAUGCAGAUAAAGACCUGGUCUUCUUCAUAUGCACAUUCCAGGCGCGAACCAGGUUUUAACUUCAGGUAAUGAUAAUACGCUUAUUUCGACGUUCGAAUUACCACCAAUGUCAACUCCAACUCACAAGCGAACAUUCCAGUAGCAGCAAUAUAUAGGAAUCACGAGAGCGAAAAGAAGAGGAAAUAUAACGACCGCGUCAUCAACCUUGAACAUGGCUCAUUCACUCCACUUGUUUUUUCCAUUAAUGGAGGUAUGAGUCAAGAAGGUACCAUAUUUCACAAACAUCUCGCUGAAAAGAUUGCUAACAAGACGGGACAAAAGUAUGAACGAAUAAUGUCAUGGAUAAGAUGUAAAUUAAGUUUUGUAAUAAUGCGUUCUGCUUUGUUGUGUCUGAGGGGUAGUCGUUCUGUGAAGGUUAACGUGGAGCCAGCUGAUGACUUCAGCUUCGCAUGUGACGAAGCCAGGCUUUGACAUUCUGUUUUAGUUAUUAUAUUGUUUUUUAUAUUG